GGGUUGUAAACUUCUUUUAUAUUAGAAUAAAGUGCAGUAUGUAUACUGUUUUGUAUGUAUAAUAUGAAUAAGGAUCGGCUAACUCCGUGCCAGCAGCCGCGGUAAUACGGAGGAUCCGAGCGUUAUCCGGAUUUAUUGGGUUUAAAGGGAGCGUAGGUGGGCCGGUAAGUCAGUUGUGAAAGUUUGCGGCUCAACCGUAAAAUUGCAGUUGAUACUGUCAGUCUUGAGUACAGUAGAGGUGGGCGGAAUUCGUGGUGUAGCGGUGAAAUGCUUAGAUAUCACGAAGAACUCCGAUUGCGAAGGCAGCUCACUGGACUGCAACUGACACUGAUGCUCGAAAGUGUGGGUAUCAAACAGGAUUAGAUACCCUGGUAGUCCACACAGUAAA
rnacentral:rRNA from 1 species